UACGGAGGGUGCGAGCGUUGUCCGGAAUCACUGGGCGUAAAGGGCGCGUAGGCGGCGCGAGAAGUCAACGGUGAAAGCCCGGGGCUCAACCCCGGGUCGGCCGUCGAUACUCUUGUGCUUGAGCACUGUAGAGGCAGGUGGAAUUCCGGGUGUAGCGGUGGAAUGCGUAGAGAUCCGGAAGAACACCGGUGGCGAAGGCGGCCUGCUGGGCAGUAGCUGACGCUGAGGCGCGACAGCGUGGGGAGCAAACAGG
rnacentral:rRNA from 1 species